UUUUAUCCUAUACUAUUUUAGAUCUAAUGUCUAUUAGAUUUAAUUUUAUUAUCUGAUAUUUAAAAUCUAAAAUUAAAUCUAAAAGUAUGAGAAAUAUAGACAUACCUUAAGGGUAAUCUAAUUACCCUGUAGAUGAUCGCAGCACUGCCUGAGGUUCUGAUGUAGCCACACAAGCGCCUGGCCUCUACCAAUAUCCACUU
rnacentral:lncRNA from 1 species